rnacentral:misc_RNA from 1 species
ACGAUUAGAGUAGAGAAUUAUAU